GCGCCGCUGGUGUAUGGAACACGCACCGUUCUCUUGAUGGGUGAACCUUAACUUGAAGCGGUGAGACGGGGUUCGAUUCCCCGGCUGUGCA